CCUACGGGUGGCAGCAGUGAGGAAUAUUGGUCAAUGGGCUUACGCCUGAACCAGCCAAGUCGCGUGAGGGAAGACUGCCCUAUGGGUUGUAAACCUCUUUUGUCAGGGAGCAACGCCGGCUACGUGUAGCCGGACUGAGAGUACCUGCAGAAAAAGCAUCGGCUAACUCCGUGCCAGCAGCCGCGGUAAUACGGGGGAUGCGAGCGUUCUCCGGAUUUAUUGGGUUUAAAGGGUGCGUAGGCGGAAUGCCAAGUCAGCGGUAAAAUCGCGGGGCUCAACCUCGCUCCGCCGUUGAAACUGGCGGUCUUGAGUGGGCGAGAAGGAUGCGGAAUGCGUGGUGUAGCGGUGAAAUGCAUAGAUAUCACGCAGAACUCCGAUUGCGAAGGCAGCAUACCGGCGCCCAACUGACGCUGAAGCACGAAAGCGUGGGUAUCGAACAGGAUUAGAUACCCUGGUAGUC
rnacentral:rRNA from 1 species